CAGCCGCCGCGGUAAUUCGUAGGUGGCAAGCGUUGUCCGGAUUUAUUGGGUUUAAAGGGUGCGUAGGCGGUUUUAUAAGUCAGUGGUGAAAUACAAUAGCUUAACUAUUGAGGUGCCAUUGAUACUGUAAGACUUGAGUACAGACGAGGUAGGCGGAAUUGACGGUGUAGCGGUGAAAUGCUUAGAUAUCGUCAAGAACACCGAUAGCGAAGGCAGCUUACUAGACUGUAACUGACGCUGAGGCACGAAAGUGUGGGGAUCAAACAGGAUUAGAUACCCUGGUAGUCCACACUGUAAACGAUGAUUACUCGAUGUUGGCGAUACACAGCCAGCGUCUUAGCGAAAGCGAUAAGUAAUCCACCUGGGGAGUACGCCCGCAAGGGUGAAACUUAAAGGAAUUGACGG
rnacentral:rRNA from 1 species